rnacentral:sRNA from 1 species
UGUCAUCCAGGUCCGGCCCCUCCCUGC